rnacentral:lncRNA from 1 species
CAGGUAUUUAUUAAUGCAGCAAGGGCCAGGAAUCCAACAGCUCAGUCCAUCAAAAAUGCUUACAAAGUACAAAGAAAUAUAAACCCAGGGCUUAUAUUCAGAGGUUUACAAUAUUCAUCUGGCCAAACAUAGUUCUAUAAAUCCCACAGUCAUUAGAGUUGUAGUUCUAAAAGUAUUUGUAGGAAUAAAAGGUGUACAGUACAUGUAUCAGCCACCUUGGCAUUGACCAAAAUUAUGCCCUGACAAUUAAACAAUUUUAAAUUGAUUGAUGACAUGUUUGAGAGCAGCUUCAGUGGUGGUGUCCCCAGUAUUGGAG